UUGUGGAUAUCUGGGAACUGUGUCUCUAGAAGUUUUUAGACAAUUUGUGUAAAUGAGGUACCUGAAAAAAUAACACAUGUAUGUGGCAAAAUAAAAAUCAGUAUAAAUGUAAGAGAGUUGUAAGGCUUAUUAGGAAUGGUCAAGGACAGCAAGGAGAACAAUAGAAAUGUGGGUGACUAGAAUCCAUUCCUCUACCUUCGAUUUCUGUGACAGAUGAUUUGGACAUCUGCAAGUUAUUGAUCCCAGAGAGAAAACAUAAAUUGGUAUUACUCGAGGAGCAGGAGUUUGCAGAAAAUUUUCUAAGGUUGCUUGCUCUGACGCGAGGAGGAGGCAAAUAAUUUCUCACGUGAGUUGGGAAGGAGAGUUCAACAGUGAGAACAGCACGAAAUCAAAAGAGCUCAUUGCUCUGAGCAGUAGAGAGGGAUCGAGACUGCCAGGAGUUCAUGCUGUCCAAGUGGUUCUUUUGAAGAGCAUGACCUGGAGUUACAUGCUGACUUUGGUUCUUUGCGGAAUGGGACCUGCUCCCGCUGUCUCACGACUGGCUGCUAUCCGAUAUACCAAGGACACAACCUAGAAGACUAGCGCCUUCAGGGUUCUGGGGUUUCCUGGCUCUGAAGGCGGGCAGACUCGAGGUCGGUGCCUCCACAGCAAAUUGGUGUGUCAUGGGAGACUGGAGAUUGUAAGCAGCAAGCUGGCUGUGUACCCAGAGAGCCGAGUUCUUUAGGCACAGUGUUUGGAAAAAAGAUACUCAACAAACUUUUAUCUUUGUAAAUCAGUGAAUUGUUUGCUAAGUCUCCCCUCUCAAUGUGAAACGGAGUCACCUCUUUUACCCUUAUUAGGGAGCGACAGAGCCUGUGGUAUGUUGAAUUACCGGGUGAACGAGUAGACUUUGGGGUACUGCAAGCCUGUGUCUUUAUUGAUGCUUUGCUGCACAGUU